AGCCACAACGCAGACUCUAUGCAUUACAUAAUGGAGAUCACAGGAUGGUUGCACUGCCACGUCUACAGUAGCGCAGAAUAGACAGAGGAAACAGGAUUGGGCCUCACGUUUUUUGCUGCCAAUAUUCAUUAUCCUACAAACUAGGGAUAGGAGGGCCCACCCACCAGAAGCAGUCAGCCGUCUCCAUGUUCUUUAUAAAGCAGCAGCAGUCUGCCUCCUGCACACAGCUGCUGAUCACCCACCAGACCAGAUAGGCCUCGUCUCUCUCGUGUCGGCAAGAAGCAGCGUUCCAAGCCAAGAACCAACCGUCUUGCACAGCCAUCGGGGCGGCGGCAGUCAUGGGUUCAGGAAAAUCGUGCCACAUUGACAUUGAGAAUGAAUGUACUAUCUACAUACUUGUCAACCCAAGGAUAUACACUGAUAGUGGAGUCUGUGCUACACCUUUACCACCGACUGUUGCCCCUGGAGCCUGUAGGAAAGGGAUUGCAGAGUUCAGGAAGCAUGAAGGAACAGCUACAGGAUGUGUUGGCGUUGUUACCUACGAUCUCAUGAACAAGGAUACAAAUCUGACAGCUGAGAAAAUAGCUGUCAUGUUUUCUGCGCCCUUUAAUUUGAACCGGUACAAAAACUUGUACGCAUUGGGAGUUUUUGAUAAGUGCAUACGGUGUGAUAAGGCUUUUUAUCAUCAGAUGUGCUAUGAUGAACCAACCACGUUCAGCAGACAAGAUGCGGAUGGCUCCUGUCUCACUUAUGAGGGGGUUCACAUAACCAUCAAGGGAACAAUGUCAGAUACUGACAGACCUGUCAUCAAGGUGCAAGUUAGCCAAACAAGAAUUGAGUGAGUCAGCAGUGGCUCUCAAUAAUGAAUCAUCAGGGUUAAAGGUAUCAGAGUUUUCAUUUGCUCUCGUUAUCAAAUCAGUAAUUGCUUUGUACUCGGCUGCAUUUUGGGUCGUCUGUGUUACACAGAUACACAAAGUCACAUGACUUGAAAGCCUGCAACGUCUUAUACUAUUCUCUUUAUUUGUAUCUCUACACCCUUGAACACGUAUAAUUACUUUUACCGGGGUUCAAUUAUAUCACAACUUGUUAAGUCUGACAUUUGUGGGAAAAUGCUUUGAAAAUCUAAAUAAUUUCACUUUGUUAUGAUUCCCUUGUUAAUGAGAAAUAUGAUAUAAUAGUAAUAGGUUGUCUUUUUUCUUAUGUGUUGUGCUCCAUAUAUGAUUAAUACA